ACGUUGCGUCAGCAACGGCCCGAAGGGCGAGGCGAAGCCGAGUCAUCCUGCACGACCCACCA
rnacentral:sRNA from 2 species